UACGGAGGGUGCAAGCAUUAAUCGGAUUUAUUGGGCGUAAAGGGCGCGUAGGCGGAUAAGAAAGUCAGAUGUGAAAUCCUGGGGCUCAACCCCAGAACAGCAUUUGAAAUUAAAGUAUCUAGAGGGUAGGCGGAGAAAACGGAAUUCCACAAGUAGCGGUGAAAUGCGUAGAUAUGUGGAAGAACACCGGUGGCGAAGGCGGUUUUCUAGCUUAUACCUGACGCUGAGGCGCGAAAAGCAAGGGGAGCAAACAGG
rnacentral:rRNA from 1 species